AGAAGGGCUAUGGUUGGUGUUCGUGUGGUUAGGGAAUUUGUGGACAGCAGGUUGUUGAAACGGUGCUGUAUCUUCAUCUCCUUGUUGUACAUGGCCAUCGAUAUCACUCCCUGUCUCGCAAGCCUCUUCUAAAUUCAUGAACUUUGCUUCGUUUCUCACCGAGUCAAACCUGGAGCCGUUGGUAUCACCAUCGUUUUCAGCAAAGAGAGUUGGAGAAGGUGAGGAGAGAAGAAGGUGGGUUUAGUGGCUGAUUUUAAGAGAACAAGUGAGGGAGAUUGUAAAAAGAGUGCGGCGGUAAUUUUCUCCGAUGUUAAAUUUUAGGUGUGUUUACGUACAAUGGUUUUGAUGUAAAUUACAAAGAAUAAAAUACACGGCAAGUUAAAAGUAUGUAUAAGUGUAAAAGCUAUAUUACAUGGAAAUGGAAGCGGGUAUGUGGAAGUGGAAGCGUAUGGAAGCUUAUAAACAAAUUUUUUUUAAAAAUUAGGAAGCGGGUAUGUGUUAUAUACAUAUAUAUAUACAUAUAUAAGAAUUUUUUAAAUAUCUAGAUGUAAAAAAUUUAUGAUUUAAAUUUAAAAUAAAGCAUUUAUUCAUUUAUAAUAAUUUUGAAAUGAUUUCAUAUUAAAACUGUGAAAAUACACAUAAAUUAAAAUAAAUUAUUAUAUUAAUUAUUUUUAAUACUUUAUAAUUAAUUGACAUAAUAUAUUUGUAAUAUGAUUUAUCUUUAAUAAAAAACUUAAUGCAUAAAGAUAAGUUACAGUAUUAAUUUUAGUAUUUCUAUAUUUAUAUUAUAUCUAUUCAGUACCAUUAAAUUUAGAUUUUAUAUAAAUUAAAAAUUAUAAUUUAUAUUUUUACUGAUAGAAGACAUUGUGUUUUUUUUUUAAGAACAGAAGCCUGAUUCCAAAACGGAAUAGUAAGCUUCCAACGUGUUUUUAAAAAGAAUAUUUUAGAAGCGUUUUGGAAGCGAGAUUCCGUAAGCUUCCACAAGGUUCUGAUUCCGAUUCCGGUUUCGAAGCGGGAAUCGGAAGUCCGAAUUUGAAGUAGGUUAAAAGUAUGUCUAUGUGUAAUAUUUUCAAGUUUAAAACUUUUAAACAACUGUCACAUUUUUUGAUUGUAACAACUUUAUUUGGCGGUCCAGUUUAUUUUUUGUACCGUUGGACCAAUCUAAUUUUUCCUUUUUCACUUUGAUUUUUCUCCUGUUGGAUCAAUCAAUUUCACGUUGUAAUUGCUAUAGAAAAUUCAAUGUCACACUACAAAAAAGGAAGUUAGAUUGUCUUUGCUAAAGAAUGACGAAAUUGAAAAAAUUGAUAAUUGAUGAGAAAAUGAAAUAUAAAACAACUUUGUGAUAUACGAAUAAUUGGAUAUUUGAUUUAAAAAUUUUAAAAGAAUAAAAAUAACUUACUAUAUUGGUUUUGAAUUAAUAAUUUAAAAUGAUUAUAUCCGAAUACAUGUAAAAAGGUAUAAUUUUUGCUUACCUCUUUAAUAAAAUCUAAUUUGGUUAUUUUGACUCUGAAGAACUAUAUACGAUAUUGUAGUUUAUGGAUAGUUGUUACCUCAUGUGCAUGAGACUAAAUAAAAAAUAAUUAAGUUAAGAUCUUCGCCUUAUGUAUAUAAUAUUUUUAACCUAUUAUUAAUUAUUUUAUGUUUUACAUAUUAUAAAAUAACAAAAUAAUAAAUAUAUAUUAAAUAAUUUAAAAAUAAUCUAUUAUGUAUAUAAUUAAGUAGGUGUGAACACAUAAACAAAACAAUAACUCUUGUUUAAUUACAUUUAUUAACUAAAUCCAAAAAAUCAUUUUUUCUAUUUUAUAUUGUAUAUAAUUAUAUUUAAACGUGGGUUCUGAUUCUAUCAAAUCCAAAUAUUUUCCCUACACAAUCGGUUUAUACUAAUGUGGAUUAUCUGUUUUGAAAAGUUCCGCCCAGGGGAUAACCAUCAGUUUCCAUAGAUUCUAUGAUAUAUUUGAAAAGGGCGGA